rnacentral:rRNA from 1 species
AACUAACGCUGGUGGCGUGUCUUAGUCAUGCAAGUCGAACGAGAAAGUACCCUUCGGGGUGCGAGUACAGUGGCGAACGGGUGAGUAACACGUGGGUAACCUACCUUUGAGUGGGGGACAACCCUUCUAACGAGGGGCUAAUACCGCAUAAUGCAGCGGCUCCGCAUGGAGAUGUUGUUAAAGGGGCGGUUUCGACCGUCCUGCUUAAAGAUGGACCCGCGGUCCAUUAGCUUGUUGGUGAGGUAAAGGCUCACCAAGGCGAAGAUGGAUAGCCGGCCUGAGAGGGUGAUCGGCCACACUGGAACUGAGAUAAGGUCCAGUCCCCUACGGGGGCCAGCAGUCUAGAAAUUUGCACAAUGGGGGAAACCCUGAUGCAGCGACGCCACGUGGAGGAUGAAGCCUCUAGGGGUGUAAACUCCUGUCAGAAGGAAAGAACGCGGAAAUUUAUUUCCGUUUGACGGUACCUUCAAAGGAAGCCCCGGCUAACUUCGUGCCAGCAGCCGCGGUAAUACGAAGGGGGCAAGCGUUGUUCGGAUUUACUGGGCGUAAAGGGCGCGUAGGCGGACCGAUAAGUCGUCUGUGAAAUCUGCUGGCUCAACCAGCAGCCUGCAGUCGAAACUAUCGGUCUUGAGUAUGGGAGAGGUGAGCGGAAUCUCUGGUGUAGCGGUGAAAUGCGUAGAUAUCAGAGAGAACACCGGUGGCGAAGGCGGCUCACUGGCCUAAUACUGACGCUGUGGCGCGAAAGCUAGGG